ensembl:lncRNA
UUUUUGAAGAGUCUGUGAAGGAUUGAUUUUAAUUUUUCCUUAAAUGUUUGAUAGAAUUCACUAGUGAAGACAUCUGGUCCUGGACUUUUCUUUGUGGGAACGUUUUUAAUUACUAAUUCAAUCUCUUUACUUGUUAUUGGUCUAUUUCUAUUUUCUUCUUGAUUCAGUUUCACUAGUGUGUGUCUUUCUAGCAAUUUUUCUCUGUUUUUUAGAUUAUCACAUUCGGAGGCAUACAGGUGUUCAUAUUAUUCCCUUAUAAUUCUUUUUAUUUCUGUAAAGUUGGUAAUAAUGUUCUCUCUUUCAGUCCUGAUUUUACUGAUUUGGAUAUUCUCUCAUUUUUUCUUGGCUUAUCUAGCAAAAAGCAUGUCAAUUUUGUUGAUCUUUUCAAAGAAACAAGAAAUGGUUUUAUAAAUUUUCUCUAUUAUUUUUUGAUUCUCUAUUUUAUUUCCUCUUUUGUCUUUACUAUUUCCUUCUUUCUGCUUGUUUUGACUUUAGUUCACUCUUCUCUUUCUAGUUUCUUUUUUGUAAGUUUGAUUUUUGAGCUAACAUCUGUUGCUAAUCUUCCUAUUUUUUUUCCUCCCCAAAGCCCCAGUACAUAGUUAUAAAUCCUAGUUGUAGGUCAUUCUAGUUUUUCUGUGUGGGGUACCACCACAGCAUGGCUUGAUGAGUGGUACGUAGGUCUGCACCCAGGAUCCUAAGUGGCAAACCCCAGGCCGCCGAAGCAGAGCACAUGAACUUGACCAAUUGGCCACCAGGUUGGCCCCCUCUUUCUGGUUUCUCAAGAGAGGAAGAUAGCACAUAACUAGAUCAUUAAAAAAAGAAAAAUCUGUUCUGCCAGUCUCUGCCUUUGGAUUGGAGUGUUGAAUCCAUUUACAUUUAAUGUAAUUACUGAUAAGAACUGAAUUGAAUGAGAGCCCAGACUCUGGUGAAGCCAGGAUGUCUUGGCUUGUCCUGAAGGUCAUGAGCUACAAGACUGGAGCACCAUUUGGGUAAUAAUGACCAGCGCUGUGGAUGCCAUCAGUGCCCAGAGGCAGGAACUAUGCCCAUGUUAUGUGGAGACACUAUGUGGCGACGCUACGUGGGUGCUGAAGAUCCAAAGAGGAACAAACACGACAUGGCUCCAGAACCCCAGACUCUAGCAAGAAUUGGAGCUCUGCUUGGUUCUUCCCAGUCUCUCUCCUAGGAGCUUGAUCUCACCUCCUCCUCAGCAAACACAGCUAGGCCCUAUGUUCUUAAUUUCGUCUACCCCAAUACCACUUUGUUCCAACUGUUGUCCAAUCUAAGUCUGAUCUUGCCGUGACCUUUGCACCCUGGCCUUGGACUCCCUGACUACCCUUCUUUAGGGAUGUUCUCGGCAUUUGGGUCAGGUCUUCUCCUCCCUCCUCAUUUUCAGCUCUUCCUUCCUUCAUGCAGGGCCUUGUUUUGAGGUCUGGUGGCUUGUCUCAGGCCAAAGUCUGUCCAAGACAGCGCCUUCCUCCUAGCUCUGCCAGAGCCCCUGCAUUGUCGUGAUCCCUGUGAAUACCUCUUUUGGCAGAAAACUUCCUUUGGAUGCCCUUCGGAAGGGAGGAACAAGUUCUUGCUCCUGUCAGAGCUGGCCCAGGUACCGAGAAGCCUGGACCUACAGUGGGGCCAUUAGCAGAUUUCCCCAUGAGGACUAGAGGAAGACUAGUGACAUAAGUGACAUAUGACCCAUUCAUUAACUCCACCACACAGAAGCCAAAUGCUCUGUGCCCACUUGAAGGGAAAGUGUAAAACUGUUCAUUAAAUGAUUUGAUAAAAUAUAUAAAAUGUCAACGGAAGGGAUAGAAAUGGAAAUCAAUAUUUCCUAAUCCCUUAUUUUAAAGAUUUUAUUUUUUUCCUUUUUCUCCCCAAAGCCCCCCAGUACAUAGUUGUGUAUUCUUCGUUGUGGGUUCUUCUAGUUGUGGCAUGUGGGACGCUGCCUCAGCGUGGUCUGAUGAGCAGUGCCAUGUCCGCGCCCAGGAUUCGAACUAACGAAACACUGGGCCGCCUGCAGCGGAGCGCGCGAACUUAACCACUCGGCCACGGGGCCAGCACCCCUAAUCCCUUAUUUUAAUCCCCAGAUCAGGUUAACAAAUUUUGACACAGACUUUUUGGUGUGAGAGGAUAUUUCAUUUGGAAAAUGACAGGGUUUAAGAAAAAUGUUCUUUACCUAAUAUCACAGCUUAAUUUAAAUAAACUUCAAGAUUCCUUUUGUUGUUAAACUGAUUUGUCAAUUUGUCUCACAAUGUUGCAUUUCUCUGUGCAAGAAUAACUGUUUAAAAUAUCUAAAGAUACCAUGAAAAAAGAAAAAAAAACCUUCAAACCUUCAAACUGUUAUAUUUUGUAGUCAACUGAGCUAUUUUGAAAUUAGAAUUCUACAAUCUUAAUUUUCAGCCUUCAAGUCUGUUAAAAAAUAUAUCUAUAUUUUAAAGCAGGCAAAAAUAACUUCUUUGUUGUAAACAGAAUAUCAUUGAACAUUCACAUUUUUGAGCUGAUGAAAAAAAGAAUUGUGAAUCAGUUUGUUAAACGUCAACAUCAGCUCAAACAAAUUCAAGUUGACUUUUCAAUAGGUUUCUGAUAGCUGGCGUAGCAGAAAUCACUAGAUCCAGAGAGCUAAUGGGCAGGAGCAGGCAUAGAUAUCUUCCCGCUUUGGGAUAAAUGGCAUCUUGCUGCUAAAACAGACUUCACAGUUAGCCGACAAUCAUUAGGUUGGUGACUUUCCUGAUACCCAAGAGAUGCUUGCACUAGGAAUAAAUUUCUAUGUUGAAGCAUUUGACAAGCCUUAGUUCCUGAUGUCUCACACUCAAGCCUUACUUUAUAGUCACAUCUGUUAGUUUAAAGCAUUUUUAGUUUAUUGAAGAAGGCUUCACAAAGGAAAAACAGAUGAUGAAAAUCUCAUCUGUCAAAACUGUUAUUAAAACCAGUAACAGUGUGAAAUUUUGUUUAAAUUGAAAGCAUCAUUUAUUUUUAUCAAACAUUUUAUAAACAAUCACAUUUGAGAAAGAUUUGGGGGACCUGGAGAGCCCUCAACAAAAUGCAGCUCAUUAUGUCGCUUCGUUGAAUGUGUGGCUCAGAGAUAGGCUGGGACUGCUUUCCUUUAUCUCUGGGAGAGACCAGAGGGGUGGAGAAAUUACCAGAAGCAAGGCUCACUCACCUCCGAGGGGCAAGAAGGAAAAGGAAAAGGGAGCAGGCCUACAACGGAGGCAGAAGACCAAUGCUGUGGUGGCAGACAGUGGGGACACCUUAUUUGCCCUUUUCUGAUGGAUUAAGGUGGAGGGACAUGGCCUGUACCUUGAAGUCCCUGAAAGGGUUUAGGAAAAAGAAAGGGAAGGAAAGAAAGGAUAUUUGUGGAAAGAAUGAGCAGGGCCUCCUUUCUUUUCCUCAGUGCAGACAGUUAAUUUCAUGCUCAGAUCUGCUACUGAUAUCAAAGCGUGUUUCACAGCCAAAGGAGUGAAAGAGAGGCUUAAGAAGGAAGCAAGAUGAACAUCAAGUCCGUUUAGUUGAGUCUUCAUUCAACCCAGAUGUCUGGCAAUGUGGAGACAAAACAUCCGAUGCUUUACUAUUGUGUAGACUCAACCUUAGAAUACACAAAAGAUCCAGUUUCGCAUUCUUAAUGGUGUCUCAUGCUUCUUUGGCUGUUUGAUAUCAGGAGCUUUGAAAGAGAAAACGUGUCUUCAGCAAAGGAGAACCAUGUAAAUGUGAAUGACUUGUUCAAGCAGUGACCUUUUUUCCCUUUCUCCAGGCGAUACUGUACUUAAUUUUGUCACACUUUGAGAUCUCCCCCUGGGGGCUGGGGCAGGGAACGGGUGGGUAUGCACAGAGUGUUGGGGGCAUCCCGGAUCCUCAGCUUCCCAUUCACUCUCUUUCCAAAGCUGACUCUUCUAAGAAUGUGUCUAGUUCUCCUUUCACAUCUCCCCUUUCUCAAUCCCUCCCUUCUGCCAUUUUUAAAAGAAAACCUUAUCUCUUACUCAUCCUGCAUCUCACAAGAGAAUGCUGCUCGGGAACACCCCCCAGCAGGGCAAACAGGGGGACCCUUUGAAGUUCACUAAAACUGCCUGUUUUCCACAAUUUCAAAGAGAAGGUGAAAAUUCCAUGUUUACUUCCAAAAUAGCAAUAUUACGUUUUCCAGAAGACGGAUCAUGUGUUAUGUUAAGUUAGUGUUUAUAUUUCUCGACCAUUUAUUCAGAGUCACAGGAAAAAACAUUUUUAUUAACUUUCGCCAGAUGAUUAUAUACGGUAAAUCUCUAUUUUAUUUUUAACAUAAGCACAGACAUCCUGCUUUGCUAAUCUCUUUUCUGCUCAUUUAUUUAUUUUUGCCAGGUAUUUCUUAGAGGAAUCUCUUGUGGGUUCCAAUCAAAAAAAUUAACUUAACGACAGGAAUUAAUGAGUCUUUUGUAAGCUCUGAACUUCCUAUGGCCCAAUCCUUUACUUUUUUUCUGUUGAUUUAUUCUGAAUCCCAUAUCAUUGUAGCCAUAAGUUAUAUUCAUCCAUGAAAAUGUACACUAAUUGGGAGAAAAAGCCCUAUUCUCAUUAAAAGAUAUAUUUCCAAUAAGAAUUUAUUUGUUAUAUUCAAUAAUUUUUUAAUCAAAAUAUAUGAUCUAUUUAUGUUGUUUGAGCAAUUGUGGCCAGCCCUGUGGACAAGUGGUUAAGUUCACGUGCUCUGUUUCAUCGGCCCAGGGUUCACUGGUUCAGAUCCUGGGCACAGACCUACACACUGCUCAUCAAGCCAUGUUGUGGCAGCAUCCCACAUAGAAGAAGUAAAAUGACCUACAACUAGGAUAUUCAACUCCGGAUGGCACAAUGCAACCAAGGAAAGUGAGCUGAGUUUACUGAAAGACAAUUUUCCAAGUCGUGAGCAGGGUUGUGGGAAACCUAACUGGAGGUGAGAGGGGUAGGAACAGCCAAGUCCUGAAGGUGCACAGAGAGGGAACAGUCACCACUUCCUGGAGAAAGUGACUAUCUCAGGAGAGAGCUGCCCUAUAAUAGCUGUGGCCUUGGGUGGAAGAUGGAGUGAAUCUGUGUUCUAGAAGGAAGGAAGCCAGGAGAAUAAACGCUCUGACCUGAGUCUCUUCCUUUUGUCCAGUCUCCCACCCAUUCCCACUAGUAAACCCAACUUGUUAGAAGUGGUGACAGGCCUUAAUCUUUCGUCAUUAAUUAUACUGUUUUUGUAGAUAUCAUUUAUCACAUCAAGGAAGUUCUUUUCUAUCAUAGUUUUUGAGAGAUUUUUGUCAAGAAUUUCUGUUGCAUUUUGUGAAAUACUUUACUGCAUCUAUUGAGAUACUCAUACAUUUUUACUCAUCCUAUUAAUUUGAUUGAUUUUUAAAUGUUAAACUGACCUUACGUUCUUAAGAUAAACUACACUUGGUCAUGAAGUAUUAUCGUUUUUAUGUAAUGCUGAUUCUAUUUGCUAAUAUUUGGUUAGGAAUGUUUGUGCCUAUGUUCACGGGGGACUUUUUUUCCUUUAGUUUUCUUUCUGGUAAUGUCUAUAUCUUGGUUUGUUGUCAGAGUAACGGUUGUCUCAUAAAAUGAGUUGGGAAGUAUUUCCUCCUCCUCUAUUUCCUGGGAGAGUUUGUGUGGGGUCGUAUUAUUUCUUUAUAAAAUGCUUUCAAGAAUUCACCAUCAUACUGUCUGGGAUGGAGUUUUAUUUUCUUUGAAGAUUUUAAAUUAUGAAUUCAAUUUCUUAAUUGAUAGAGAAAUUUUCAGAUAUUUUAUUUUUUCUUGAGGGAGCUUCAGUAAUUUGUGUCUUUCAAGAAUUUGUCUGUUUCAUUUAGGUUGCCAAAUUUAUUGGCAUAAAGUUAAUAUAUUCUGUUAUUAUCCUUUUAUUGUUCAUAAUAUCUGUAGUAAUGCUUCUUUUUCCUUCCUGAUAUUGAUAAUUUGUGUCUUCUCUUUUUUUUCUGAUAAAUCUGGUUAGUAAUUUAUAAUUUUUACUAAUCUUUUCAUAUUCAAGCUUUUGGUUUCACUGAUUUUUUCUAUUAUUUGUCAAUUUUCUAUUUUAUUGAUUUCUACUUAGCUUUAUUAUUGUCCUUCUACUUUAUGUUUAAUUUACUUUUUUAAAAGUCUUCUUCAGGUGGAAGCUUAGAUCAUUGAUUUGAGGCUUUUUGUAUUUUAAUAUAAGCGUUUAAAUCUAUAAAUUUCCCCCAAGCAUGGCUUUAGCUGCCUCCCAUAAAUUUUGACAUGUAUUUUCAUUUUCUUUCAGUUGAAAAUAAUUUUUAAUGUACUUUUUGAAAUUUUCUUUGAUCUAUUAGUUAUUUAGAAGUAUGCUGUUUAUCAAAUUUUCAAAGAUAUGUUCAGAUAUCGUCCUAACUUAUUUCUAAUUUAAUUACAUUAUGUUAGAGAACAUGCUUGUAUGAUUUCAAUCCUUUUAUUCUAUUGAGAGUUUGUUAUGGUGUAGAAUAUGAUCUUUGUGAAUACUCCAUGU